rnacentral:rRNA from 1 species
AGAGUUUGAUCCUGGCUCAGAGUGAACGCUGGCGGCGUGCUUUACACAUGCAAGUCGAACGAGAACGGGUUAUAGCUUGCUAUAAUUGUCAGCUAAGUGGCGAACGGGUGAGUAAUGUAUAGAUAACAUGCCUCUUAGAGGGGGAUAACAGUUGGAAACGACUGCUAAUACCCCAUAUUCCUUGUAUAUAUAAGUAUAUAAGGGAAACGGUUUAUUCUGCUAAGAGAUUGGUCUGUAUGGUAUCAGGUAGUUGGUGGGGUAAAAGCCUACCAAGCCUAUGACGCCUAGCUGGUCUGAGAGGAUGAUCAGCCACACUGGAACUGAGACACGGUCCAGACUCCUACGGGAGGCAGCAGUGGGGAAUAUUGCACAAUGGACGAAAGUCUGAUGCAGCAACGCCGCGUGGAGGAUGACACGUUUAGGUGCGUAAACUCCUUUUCUGAAGGAAGAAUUUUGACGGUACUUCAGGAAUAAGCACCGGCUAACUCCGUGCUAGCAGCCGCGGUAAUACGGGGGGUGCAAGCGUUACUCGGAAUCACUGGGCGUAAAGCGUACGUAGGCGGUUUAGUAAGUUGGGGGUGAAAUCCUAUGGCUCAACCAUAGAACUGCUUCCAAAACUACUAGACUAGAAUCAGGAAGGGGCAGAUGGAAUUAGUGGUGUAGGGGUAAAAUCCGUAGAGAUCACUAGGAAUACCAAUAGCGAAGGCGAUCUGCUGGUACUGUAUUGACGCUGAGGUACGAAAGCGUGGGGAGCAAACAGGAUUAGAUACCCUGGUAGUCCACGCCGUAAACGAUGAACACUAGUUAUUGGGAUGCUUGUCAUUUCAGUAAUGCAGUUAACACAUUAAGUGUUCCGCCUGGGGAGUACGGUCGCAAGAUUAAAACUCAAAGGAAUAGACGGGGACCCGCACAAGCGGUGGAGCAUGUGGUUUAAUUCGACUAUACGCGAAGAACCUUACCUGGACUUGACAUCCUAAGAAUCUUUCAGAGAUGAGAGAGUGUCUUUCGGGAAACUUAGUGACAGGUGCUGCACGGCUGUCGUCAGCUCGUGUCGUGAGAUGUUGGGUUAAGUCUCGCAACGAGCGCAACCCCUGAUAAUAGUUGCUAGCACUUCGGGUGAGCACUCUAUUAUGACUGCCUGGGUAACCAGGAGGAAGGUGGGGACGACGUCAAGUCAUCAUGGCCCUUAUGUCCAGGGCUACACACGUGCUACAAUGGAUAAGACAGAGUGAAGCAAUACUGCGAGGUGGAGCAAAUCACAAAACUUAUUCUCAGUUCGGAUUGUUCUCUGCAACUCGAGAGCAUGAAGCUGGAAUCGCUAGUAAUCGUAGAUCAGCAAUGCUACGGUGAAUACGUUCCCGGGUCUUGUACUCACCGCCCGUCACACCAUGGGAGUUGAGUUCACCCAAAGACGGGAUGCUAAAUUGGCUACCGUCCACGGUGGGCUCAGCGACUGGGGUGAAGUCGAAACAAGGUA